GACGAACGCUGGCGGCGUGCUUAACACAUGCAAGUCGAACGAGUGGCGAACGGGUGAGUAAAACGUGGGUAACCUGCCCUCUGUCUGGGAUUAGCUUCGGAAACGGGGUGUAAUACCGACUUACGGGGGAUGGGCUCGCGGCUUAUCAGCUUGUUGGGGGGGUGAUGGCCUACCAAGGCGGUGACGGGGAGCCGGGCUGAGAGGGUGAACGGCCACAAUGGGACUGAGAAACGGCCCAGACUCCCACGGGAGGCAGCAGUGGGGGAUAUUGCACAAUUGGCGAAAGCCUGAUGCAGCGACGCCGCGUGAGUGAAGAAGGUUUUCGGAUCGUAAAACUCUGUUGUUAGAGAAGCGGUAUCUAACCAGGAAGCCACGGCUAACUACGUGCCAGCAGCCGCGGUAAUAC
rnacentral:rRNA from 1 species